rnacentral:tRNA from 1 species
ACCCUCGUAGCUUAAUUGCGUAGAGCAGCGACCUUUUAAGUCGCAGGGUGAAAGUUCGAAUCUUUCCGGGGGUA